UACGUAGGGUGCGAGCGUUAAUCGGAAUUACUGGGCGUAAAGCGUGCGCAGGCGGUUUUGUAAGCCAGAUGUGAAAUCCCCGGGCUUAACCUGGGAAUGGCAUUUGGGACUGCAAGGCUCGAGUGCGGCAGAGGAGACUGGAAUUCCUGGUGUAGCAGUGAAAUGCGCAGAUAUCAGGAGGAACACCGACGGCGAAGGCAGCUUACUGGGCCGAUACUGACGCUGAGGAGCGAAAGCGUGGGGAGUGAACAGG
rnacentral:rRNA from 1 species